CCUACGGGAGGCUGCAGUGGGGAAUAUUGGACAAUGGGGGCAACCCUGAUCCAGCCAUGCCGCGUGUGUGAAGAAGGCCCUCGGGUUGUAAAGCACUUUCAGUGAGGAAGAACGCCUGGUGGUUAAUACCCAUCAGGAAAGACAUCACUCACAGAAGAAGCACCGGCUAACUCCGUGCCAGCAGCCGCGGUAAUACGGAGGGUGCGAGCGUUAAUCGGAAUUACUGGGCGUAAAGCGCGCGUAGGUGGCUUGAUAAGCCGGUUGUGAAAGCCCCGGGCUCAACCUGGGAACGGCAUCCGGAACUGUCAAGCUAGAGUGCAGGAGAGGAAGGUAGAAUUCCCGGUGUAGCGGUGAAAUGCGUAGAGAUCGGGAGGAAUACCAGUGGCGAAGGCGGCCUUCUGGACUGACACUGACACUGAGGUGCGAAAGCGUGGGUAGCAAACAGGAUUAGAUACCCUGUAGUC
rnacentral:rRNA from 1 species